UGAUCUUAAGCCAAGCACAUUGACAUCAGCAUGCGUUUAGGGUCAUGCUGGAUCAAAUUUUGCCGUCUCUGAAAGAAGGGCAGAGAAAAAGAAUUCUGUGGGGCAGAGCCAUCUUUGCAUUGCAAUGCACAUCUAUAUUAGCAGAGACAAGACUUCUGUUCUAAUUUGACUCGCUGGAUGUCCAGGUUUAACCAAUACCUUUGGGACUGGGCCUGUUUGGGUUGAGUGACAGCAGGCAAAUCCAGUUCCAAUGUGUUUUCCACGUUCCUAAUGCUUGACUGACAACUUUGAAUUUUAGAUCGAAGCGGCUGCAUGGAUCUUGCUGUUUACACUGAAGCAAUUUCUGUCCUUUUUAUGCCUUCCAACAAAGAGACGUGUGCAGGAAGGUCAGGCAUUGCUGUGUGUUUUAAGGGAAAAGGACGGGGAAAAUAGGAAAAAAAGAAAAAUGAGAGAAAAAUGUGGAGGGAAAAAAGCUACCUCAAGGUAUGAAGUUACCUCAGCAAUUGUUUUGUUUUUGGGCUUGCUGAUAUUUUAUAUAAAAGCUGAUAGUCUUGAAUAUUUUAUUUUUUUAAUGAAAAGAGAAGUUAAGUUUCAUAAUUUCUUAUGAGCCAGAAGUUGUUAUGCAGGUCGGCAGUGUUAUGAGCUCUCUAUGGAGAACGACAGAGACUUCAGACGUAGCGGAAAAGAUGGCAGAUCUCUCUCCACCCCUAAAAACGACAGUUCAGUCUUUGCCUUACUCCGAGAAUCAAAUAAUAAUUUUCAGCCCUUCAAAAAUAUGGCUGGUUUAGGAUCUGCACCUUUUGAUUACAGUGUCCAAAUCAUUAAAAUUUGUGUGAUUAGACGCACCACACUCCAAAAGGCAUAUAUAAGAAAGAGAAACACCAAACUGUAGUCUAGAGUCUGGUCCUGAUUUAAAUUCACUUAAUUUGGAUGUUGGGGUGAGUUUACUUGAUCAAUGUAGGUGGUUGUAGUUCUGUGGUUGGUUACUUGGAUUAAAGUUCAGGCAUGUUUAUUCU